GACGGAGGAUGCAAGUGUUAUCCGGAAUCACUGGGCGUAAAGCGUCUGUAGGUGGUUUAAAAAGUCUACUGUUAAAAUUUGAAGCUUAACUUCAAAGAUGCCGUAGAAACUUUUAAACUUGAGGAUGGUAGGGGUAGAGGGAAUUUCCAGUGGAGCGGUGAAAUGCGUAGAUCUUGGAAAGACCACCAAUGGCGAAGGCACUCUACUGGGCCAUUACUGACACUAAGAGACGAAAGCUAGGGGAGCAAAUGGG
rnacentral:rRNA from 1 species